rnacentral:rRNA from 1 species
AGUAAUACAUCGGAACGUGUCUUCUAGUGGGGGAUAACUGCCCGAAAGGGCAGCUAAUACCGCAUGAGACCUGAGGGUGGAAGCGGGGGAUCGCAAGACCUCGCGCUGGAAGAGCGGCCGAUGUCCGAUUAGCUAGUUGGUGAGGUAAAGGCUCACCAAGGCGACGAUCGGUAGCUGGUCUGAGAGGACGACCAGCCACACUGGGACUGAGACACGGCCCAG